rnacentral:rRNA from 1 species
UACGGAGGGGGCAAGCGUUGUCCGGAAUUACUGGGCGUAAAGCGCGUGUAGGCGGCGCGGUAAGUCGGCUGUGAAAUCCCUCGGCUCAACCGAGGAAGUGCAUUCGAUACUGUGUUGCUUGAGUGUCGGAGGGGAUGGCGGAAUUCCCGGUGUAGAGGUGAAAUUCGUAGAUAUCGGGAGGAACACCUGUGGCGAAGGCGGCCAUCUGGACGACGACUGACGCUGAGACGCGAAAGCUAGGGGAGCAAACGGG